rnacentral:rRNA from 1 species
GACGAACGCUGGCGGCGUGCUUAACACAUGCAAGUCGAACGGAAAGGCCCUGCUUUUGUGGGGUGCUCGAGUGGCGAACGGGUGAGUAACACGUGAGUAACCUGCCCUUGACUUUGGGAUAACUUCAGGAAACUGGGGCUAAUACCGGAUAGGAGCUCCUGCUGCAUGGUGGGGGUUGGAAAGUUUCGGCGGUUGGGGAUGGACUCGCGGCUUAUCAGCUUGUUUGUGGGGUAGUGGCUUACCAAGGCUUUGACGGGUAGCCGGCCUGAGAGGGUGACCGGCAAAAUUGGGACUGAGAUACGGCCCAGACUCCUACGGGAGGCAGCAGUGGGGAAUAUUGCACAAUGGGCGGAAGCCUGAUGCAGCAACGCCGCGUGCGGGAUGACGGCCUUCGGGUUGUAAACCGCUUUCGAAUGUGACGAAGCGUGAGUGACGGUAAUGGGUAAAGAAGCACCGGCUAACUACGUG